AAGUAUUAUAAUCUUUGCAUUAAAUGCAUNACGUUUGACCGUCCGUCUUAUUUGAAAAAAUUAUGAAAGAAAUUAAAAAGACAAGUCACGCAUAAAAUAUUAAUCAUGUUUUAUCAUCUAACAACAAUGAAAAUACGAAUUAUAAAAAAAUUUCAUAUAAGACGGACAGUCAAAGUUGGACACGGAAAUAUAGGGUUUGCCUUUUU
rfam:Oryza glumipatula chromosome 5, whole genome shotgun sequence.